rnacentral:rRNA from 1 species
AUGAAAAAGUGCAACUUCCUGAAAGACCAGGACUCUAGCAUGUCAAAAAUCGAGUUGAAGCAGAGCCUAGAAAAAAUAGAAAAGGUCAUAAAUGAUGCAUGUGGAUUUUUUGAACAGAUGAACUUGCCAAACAAAAGUAAUGCUAAUUUGAGCAAACCUGCCAGCUCACGAGGUGCGGUCACUACGGCGAGGCCUCCACCUCUGGUAAUCGGAAGAGAUAAAGAUUGUGAUAACAUAGUUGCAAUGCUUCAUGAUAAGGAAGAAGAUGCUCAACCAGAUACCAAUAAGGCUCAAUGCUAUUCCGUAAUCGGCAUUCAUGGCAUCGGUGGUUCUGGAAAAUCAACCCUUUCACAACUUGUUUGUGCUCGUGAGGAAAAGGAUGGCCAUUUCAACCUUGUUAUGUGGGUUCACGUUUCACAGGAUUUUAGUGUGGAUACCAUUUUCAGGCAGAUGUCUGAGGCCGCUAGCAGGACCCCGUGCCCUCAGUUCAAUAAUCUUGACACCUUACAGACUAAUUUGCAGAAGAAACUGCAUGGAAAACGGUUCCUCUUGGUACUAGAUGAUGUUUGGUACAAUAAUAGAGAUGUGAGGCAGUAUGAGAAGCUGCAACAGAUACUUUCACCGCUGAACGCUGGAGAGGCAGGAAGCAAGAUCCUGGUGACUAGUCGAACUAAAGACGCAUUGAUAGCUCUGGGUGCUGCAGAGCAAAGAUGUAUUCCCAUGUCACUGCUAGAUGAAGAUGUCUUCCUGAAAUUGUUCAAGCACUAUGCAUUUCACAACGUGUGCGUUGCUGCUGAUGACCGGAUAAGACUCGAAGACAUUGCAACUCACAUUGCAAAAAAGCUGAAGGGAUCACCUCUGGCGGCCAAACUUGUUGGAGGGCAGCUACGUAUGAGGCCAAACAUCGAUUACUGGAGAAGUUCCCGAGAUGGGAACCACUUGGAUGACACCAUGGGAGCUCUGUGGUGGAGCUACCAACAUCUUGAUGAACAGGUCAGACGAUGCUUUGCUUACUGCAGUAUUUUUCCUCGAAGACGUCUCUUGGAACAACAUGAGUUAGUUAAGCUUUGGGCUGCAGAAGGGUUUGCUAGAAGUAGCAAUGAAGGGAAGGAUUUGGAAGAUGUUUGCCAGGGAUACUUUGAUGAACUGGUGUCAGCCUCAUUUCUGCAACCUGAAGUAAAGAAGUACUCCAGUAAGAAGGACACUUAUAUAGUUCAUGAUCUGUUGCUUGAUUUAGCAGAUAGGGUUGCUGGAAGUGAUUGUUUCAGAAUAGAGAAUCAAUGGAAACAGAUAGGAGAUGGCUUAAUAAUGGAAGGAUGUGAAGAGGAAGUUCCCCCAGACGUCCGCCAUCUUUUUGUUCAGACCUAUGGUUCAGAAUUGAUAAAUGAGAAGAUAUGCAAAUUGGACAACCUGCGCACUCUCAUCAUUGAUGGCGUAGAUGUCAGAAUACAAGUUGAGGAGAAAACCGUCAAGAGUCUGUUUGUGAGGCUAAAGAAGUUGCGGGUGCUUAUCAUACCUGUCUAUAAUGAUCAAGGUACAUUUUCAGUCCCAGAAUCUAUUGGUCAGCUAAGGCAUCUACGGUAUCUACGGCAUCUUCCUUUUGAGACUAGAUUUUUCUGGUGUUGA